AGAGUUUGAUCCUGGCUCAGAACAAACGCUGGCGGCGUGUCUUAAGCAUGCAAGUCGAGCGGCAAGGCGGGGCGACCCGCCCUAGAGCGGCGGACUGGUGAGUAACGCGUGGGUAAUCUACCUUGGGCAUGGGGAUAGCCAUUAGAAAUAGUGGGUAAUACCGAAUACGUUCGCAGGGGGAAGGAUCCUGUGAGGAAAGGGUGCUACGGCACCGGCCUGAGAUGAGCUCGCGUCCCAUUAGCUAGUUGGUAAGGUAAGGGCUCACCAAGGCGAUGAUGGGUAGCCGGCCUGAGAGGGUGUACGGCCACACUGGGACUGAGAUACGGCCCAGACUCCUACGGGAGGCAGCAGCUAAGAAUAUUCCGCAAUGGACGAAAGUCUGACGGAGCGACGCCGCGUGGAUGAAGAAGGCCGAAAGGUUGUAAAGUUCUUUUGCGAGGGAAGAAUAACCGCAGGAGGGAAUGCCUGUGGGAUGACAUGAACUUGCGAAUAAGCCCCGGCCAACUACGUGCCAGCAGCCGCGGUAACACGUAGGGGGCGAGCGUUGUUCGGAAUUACUGGGCGUAAAGGGCAUGUAGGCGGUCUGGUAAGCCUGGCGUGAAAGACCACAGCUUAACUGUGGGGUUGCGUUGGGAACUGCUGGGCUUGAGUGACGGAGAGGGAGCUGGAAUUCCUGGUGUAGGGGUGAAAUCUGUAGAUAUCAGGAAGAACACCGAUGGCGAAAGGCAAGCUCCUGGCCGAUGACUGACGCUGAGGUGCGAAAGUGUGGGGAUCAAAACAGGAUUAGAUACCCCUGGUAGUCCACCACGGUAAACGAUGUGCACUAGGUGCUGGGGCGGUUAGCCUCGAUGCCGGGAGCGGACGUGGUAAGUGCACCGCCUGGGGAGUAUGCUCACAAGGGUGAAAUCAGAUGAUUGACGG
rnacentral:rRNA from 1 species